CAGCCGCCACGGGAAUACGUAGGGUGCAAGCGUUAAUCGGAAUUACUGGGCGUAAAGCGUGCGCAGGCGGUUUGUUAAGACAGAUGUGAAAUCCCCGGGCUCAACCUGGGAACUGCAUUUGUGACUGGCAAGCUAGAGUGUGGCAGAGGGGGGUGGAAUUCCGCGUGUAGCAGUGAAAUGCGUAGAUAUGCGGAGGAACACCGAUGGCGAAGGCAGCCCCCUGGGCCAACACUGACGCUCAUGCACGAAAGCGUGGGGAGCAAACAGGAUUAGAUACCCCCGUAGUCCCUGUCUCUUAUAC
rnacentral:rRNA from 1 species